rnacentral:rRNA from 1 species
GUGCCAGCCGCCGCGGUAAUACAGAGGUCCCAAGCGUUGUUCGGAUUCACUGGGCGUAAAGGGUGCGUAGGUGGCCGGUUAAGUCUGACGUGAAAUCUCCGAGCCUAACUCGGAAACUGCAUCGGAAACUAUCCGGCUCGAGGGUUGGAGGGGGGACUGGAAUACUUGGUGUAGCAGUGAAAUGCGUAGAUAUCAAGUGGAACACCAGUGGCGAAGGCGAGUCCCUGGACAACUCCUGACACUGAGGCACGAAAGCUAGGGGAGCAAACAGGAUUAGAAACCCCAGUAGUCC